UACGUAGGGCGCAAGCGUUGUCCGGAAUUAUUGGGCGUAAAGAGCUCGUAGGCGGUUUGUCGCGUCUGCUGUGAAAACCUAAGGCUCAACCUUGGGCUUGCAGUGGGUACGGGCAGACUAGAGUGCGGUAGGGGUGACUGGAAUUUCUGGUGAUAGCGGUGGAAUGCGCAGAUAUCAGGAGGAACACCGAUGGCGAAGGCAGGUCACUGGGCCGCAACUGACGCUGAGGAGCGAAAGCAUGGGGAGCGAACAGG
rnacentral:rRNA from 1 species